rnacentral:snRNA from 1 species
AGCUUCAUACAGUGACAGUAUCAGAGCCAAUAGGUUCAUCCAAGGAGUGAUUAUUGCUAAUUGAAAACUUUUCCCAAUACCCAGCCAUGACAAAUUGCAAUAUAGUUGGCAUUGGCAAUUUUUAACAGUCUUUGUGGAGA